AGGUAAGCGGCGAGUUUGGCGUCGCUCCAGCCGCUACGGCGUCUCAAGUCCACCCAGGGGCCGUGCGCCUCUCCCAGGUACACGCGCCGCACGUCGUACUUCUUCCGGGACUCGAGCCGCCUCCGGGCCCGGUCCGACUCGGACAGCGACUCCACACUCCUGCUGCCGUGGGUAGUGGACAAAGAUGCGCUGGAUAGCGUUGCGGGGCCGGAAGACCUCCUUGGGGAAAACGUCCAGCAGCAGGUUGUAUACUGACAAGUCCCGUUCCACACCAAACUCUGGCAUCUUGCGAAGUGCUAGGUAGAUGAAGUCCACGUGGCCGCGCUUGCGCACAUUGUGCUCCCCAAAACUGCGCACUGCAUUCAGGAAGCUUGCCUUGUCCUGCUCCCCGUUUCCUGAUGGCCUGAACAGGUCUUCGUGCAUUGCUGGAACCUUGAUGGGUUUCUUUUGGGGCUCGGAGGGUCGAGGAACCAACCACACGUCAUCCUUGUGUGUGACUGCACUACAAUGGAGGCCUCGAGCCUGAAGGGACGGCUGGGGAGAGAGGAUGGUACUUGCUUUUUGUUUUCUGUUUGCUGGCAGAGGUACACUGGACAUCAUGGAGGACCUUCCAGGAGCUUUGAUACUGUGGCUGCUAACUGUAGCUUGGAUAUGACAUAGUGCAUCAAAGUACACUGCCACAUGGUAGCACACGCCUGAAAUCCCAACCCCCAGGGAGCUAAGGCAGGAGAAUUGAGAGCUCAAAGCUUGCUUGAACCAUACAUUCAUAUUGUAAGGCCAUUUGGGAUUACAUAUGGUGCAUACACAUGUACACAUAGACACAGACACACACAGACACACACAGACACACACACACACACACAGACACACACACACACACAAAAAUAAAACAUCAAGAAGCAUUACCAGGACCAGCAAGAUGGCUCAGAAGAUAAAGCACUCACACAGAUUUGACAUAGAUAUAUGUAUCUACACAUGUGACUAUGCUUGGCCCAGGGAGUGGCACUAUUAGGAGGUGUGGCCUUGUUGGAGGAAGCGUGUUACUGUGGGGGUGGGCUUUGAGAUCCUCCUCCUAGCUCCCUGGAAGCCUGUCUCUCCUGAUUGUCUUUGCAUCAAGAUGCAGAACUCGGGCUAGAGAGAUGGCUCAGUGGUUAAGAACACCCAACUGUUCUUCCAGAGGUCAUGAGUUCAAUUCCCAGCAACCACAUGGUGGCUCACAACCAUCUGUAAAGAGAUCCGAUGCCCUCUUCUGGUGUAUCUGAAGACAGCUACAGUGUACUUAUAUAUAAUAAAAUAAAUCUUUAAAAAAAAAAUUAAAAAAAAAGAUGCAGAACUCUCAGCUCCUUCUCCAGCACCAUGUCUGCCUGUAUGCUGCCAUGCUUCCUGCCAUGGUAAUGGAUUAAACCUCUGAGUCUGUAAGCCAGCCAAUUAAAUGCUUGCCUUUAUGAGUUGCCUUGGUCAUAACAAUAAAACCCUAAGACACGUA